AACGAACGCUGGCGGCGUGCCUAACACAUGCAAGUCGAGCGCGAAUGGAGCAAUCCUAGUAGAGCGGCGAACGGGUGCGUAACACGUGGGUAAUCUGCCUGGGAGACCGGAAUAACCUGCCGAAAGGCUGGCUAAUACCGGAUAAGCUUAUGGGUUCCUUGGAACCUGCAAGAAAAUGGUGGCCUCUGUAUACAAGCUACCGCUUCCAGAUGAGCCCGCGGCCCANCAGCUAGUUGGCGGGGUAAUGGCUCACCAAGGCAACGACGGGUAGCUGGUCUGAGAGGACGAUCAGCCACACUGGAACUGAGACACGGUCCAGACUCCUACGGGAGGCAGCAGUGGGGAAUUUUGCGCAAUGGGCGGAAGCCUGACGCAGCAACGCCGCGUGUGUGAUGAAGGUCUUCGGAUUGUAAAGCACUUUCG
rnacentral:rRNA from 1 species